CGGCGGAGAGCUCUCUCUCUAGCUCGUUGUUUUAUUUGCAGCUGAAGGCCGAUGAGAAUCAAUCCCCCCGCCUCCCACCUCCUGCCGCCCCUCUGAUUUUUUGGGCACCCGCCGAUGAUGCAAACUAGAGGAGCCAACCUGUGAGUGGAUGCAGGCGGGGCGGCGAGCGCAAGUCCGUCAGCGGCGAGGGGGCUGCUGCUGGGCUAGCGCGGCGACCACCUGUUGCCGAGCACACCCUGCUCGGACAUCAUGCGGAUGCAACAUUACUUUCCUCCUAUGGCUUUUGUUUUUUGAUUUAGCUGGUUGCAGCUUUUUGAUUUGUCGGUUCCAGCUUUUUUUUGGUUGAUUGUAGCAAUUUUUAUCCUCCAGUAAGCAACUUCUGAUUCGUCGGUUCUAACAGUUUCUUUUGCUGGUCGUAGCUUUUCAUGCCGCUAGUUUCAACUUUUUUCUUCACCGAUGGCAUCAAUCCCCCGUUUCGAAGUAGCAACUUUUCAAUUCGCAGUUGUAACAUUUUAUUUCACCGGUAGUAGCUUUUUGCGGGAGGACGGAGAUCGAUUACGAAUUUUUGCUGCAACCGUUUGUGUUUUUUGCUACUACCGGCGAUGUAUUUUGCUACAUCCAUUCAAUGUCAUUUACUGGUGGUUGUUGGCUGCGCAAUCCGUGCAGCGAGGGUUGACGACGAGUGGCGGCAGCAGUGCAUCAUGGGUCUACGAGCGAGCGGCCGGCAGCCGUUGCCCUCGCGGAUGUGCAGACGGAGGCGGGGGCGUGUGGGGCAGAGGGGCGGGGGUGCGUGGGGUGGAGGUUGAAGACGAGUCAAGGCGCGUGGAGAUGCCAGAUCGGACGACCAAUCCACGCCAGAUCGAAGGGUUAGGGCGCGACCGGCCCAAAUUUGGGCCGGUGCACCGGCGUCUAGCGUCGCCCAUUUAAUUAACACGUGCACAACACACUUAAAUCGCAUGCACGCAACACUUUCGCAAGCCGUUGGGUUACUUGCACAACACGAGGUUGAGGCGCGACGUUGUAUUGUCGCAGUUCUUUGUCGGCGUCGCCAUCCUUCUGGUGGUGCACGUCCUCGGCGCCGUCGCCAUCAUGGGUAUCAUUUACAUGUCGCCGGUGGCAAGGCGAAGAUGAGUGGCUAGAUAAGGGGGUGUCCUAAAGCCUAUGCUCUACAAUAUGUUUACCGGCAAGGCGAAUGCUGCGGGGCAAGGUCUAGAUGUGUGAACCUUCGCCGUGCUCAUCAUGGUGUCCAUGUUGUCGAGCUAACAACUAAGGCCUGUGCGGCUGCGCGUGCAUGCCGGUGAACGGGAACAUGGCCAUGUUCAAGCGAGCACACCGGUCUCAGCUGCUUGUGCCGAGACGCUGGUCGAGAAUGUAAGACGAGAUAGAAGGAGAAAGAUUGCAACUGCAACUAUUUUCAACCGUAUUCUUUUUUUUUCUUGAGGGGAUUUUCAACCGUAUUCAUUCACCGUGCUCAACUGUAUUCACCAUCAUCGCACGAGAGAAUGUACAUGGAUGAUGAGCAGGUAGGUGCGGCAACUACGCUAACAACCUCCGUAUCUAACUCAUCUAGAUAAGCUCAUGCAAUCAUGUACGUGAGACUAGGUCUAGCAGUUAGUUUCUCUAAAAAAAUGGUUUAGUGGUUACAGGGAGGGAGCUACGUGAAUGAAUCUGACGCUGGUGCAGCUGGUCUUCUAGGGGCGUACCAACAGAGAACACGCUAUUCCUCGCUGUUGGCUGCGUGCAUAGCCUGCGCGUGGAGCUCAAGAAGUGAAGAAAAUAUGAUGAUAGGGGGCAUGGAGCUAAGAGGAUACUAGUACCUGCUUCCAGCGUGGAGCUGCUAUUGGCCCAGUCCGUGUAGCCCGGUACUUUUCGACGACACAUGACGAACGGCGACGAACGACGGUGACAAUGGCGGUGGCGAUGGCGUGCGGCAUGGAGUGGAGCGGCACGCCCUGGGAAUGCGUCCGCGUGGGAGAAGACGGCGAACGUCCUAUAUACCUACUACUAGUAGGUAGCAUGCAAAGGGAGCACGAAGCCCUGUCGCACCCGCGCACGAUAGCAUGCAUGCACACACACGGCAGCUACGACACUAAACAAAAAUAAUGGCUCAAAUUAAUUGUGCACACAUUGAUCCUGUGGUUAACUGGCUAGCAGGCAUAGCGAUUUAUUUCUUUUUUCCA